rnacentral:lncRNA from 1 species
CAACUAGUGUGGUUAGAAAACAUGAGCCAUGAGGCCAUGGCUUGGCAUCUCGUAGCAGCAAACUCCGCGCUUGACCAUCCGCAGAUGCUUCUUGCCGGAGCCGGUAGAAGAGGUCCUGAUGAGUUGCACGGCCAUCAAGUGGAGGAAGUAGUGCGUGUGGCCAUCGACAUUGUCAAUCAUCAAGACAGUCCAAGCAAUGCAGAACCNNNNNNNNNNACGUAGUAUGUGCUAGGUUAUCUCAAGAUCAGUAUAUCUAGUCAAUGCCAUGCUAAUUAUUAUCUCGUGGAUUAAUAUACUCGGAAAAUUACCUAUUUAUUCAACAUAAAUAAGCUGCCAAUGAUUUUCGUGUGAUACCAUAUUUCACUGAAUGUAUCUCGGAUAGUCAUGCAUCAUAGCCUAUAAAUCCAAAACAAGAACUACGAUUGUACAAAACCUAACUGGCCAAUGAAACUACAUUAAAUAGAAUUCAUUGCCCAACAAGGCAACAACAGUUAUAAAACAUGGAAUUUUCAAAAGUUUGAGGAAAGAUUGAACAUUCAGAUUCCAUGGCUGGUAUGCUACUACAAAACCAUUGACAGUCUGAAGCUGAAGUCAUUCCCUCUUGACCAUCCGCAGCUGCUUCAUCAAGGAUUUGCCGAGAGACC